rnacentral:rRNA from 1 species
GCACAAGCGGCGGAGCAUGCGGAUUAAUUCGAUGCAACGCGAAGAACCUUACCAAGGCUUGACAUACACCGGUAACGCCCAGAGAUGGGUGCCCCUUUGUGGUCGGUGGACAGGUGGUGCAUGGUUGUCGUCAGCUCGUGUCGUGAGAUGUUGGGUUAAGUCCCGCAACGAGCGCAACCCUCGUCCUAUGUUGCCAGCGGGUCAUGCCGGGGACUCAUGGGAGACUGCCGGGGUCAACUCGGAGGAAGGUGGGGAUGACGUCAAAUCAUCAUGCCCCUUAUGUCUUGGGCUUCACGCAUGCUACAAUGGCCGGUACAAAGGGCUGCGAUACCGCGAGGUGGAGCGAAUCCCAGAAAGCCGGUCUCAGUUCGGAUCGGGGUCUGCAACUCGACCCCAUGAAGUCGGAGUCGCUAGUAAUCGCAGAUCAGCAACGCUGCGGUGAAUACGUUCCCGGGCCUU